AAAUAAUUCAGUAAUCAAGAAAAUACUAGCCCACAAACUUUCUAGAUUCCAGGUUAUCUUCUUAGCUGCUCACUCGGGAGCAACUAAAAAGGGUCUGAUCAGUUUUCAGAUGAUCCAUUGUUAAAAAUGAUUUUAGUACCAAACAUGCAGAAGGUGGCUUACCUCUCAGGUGUGACCUGUCAUUUGAGUGAUUUCGGUGGAUUCCCCAAACACAGAUAAAUCACC